GACGAACGCUGGCGGCGUGCUUAACACAUGCAAGUCGAACGGAAAGGCCCCUUUGGGGGUACUCGAGUGGCGCACGGGUGAGUAACACGUGAGUAACCUGCCCUUGACUUCGGGAUAACUUCAGGAAACUGGGGCUAAUACCGGAUAGGAAUCCUUGCUGCAUGGUGGGGGUUGGAAAGCUUCGGCGGUUUUGGAUGGACUCGCGGCUUAUCAGCUUGUUGGUGGGGUAGUGGCUUACCAAGGCUUUGACGGGUAGCCGGCCUGAGAGGGCGACCGGCCACAUUGGGACUGAGAUACGGCCCAGACUCCUACGGGAGGCAGCAGUGGGGAAUAUUGCACAAGGGGCGGAAGCCUGAUGCAGCAACGCCGCGUGCGGGAGGACGGCCUUCGGGUUGUAAACCGCUUUCAGCAGGGGCGAAGCUUGUGGUGACGGUACCUGCAGAAGAAGCACCGGCUAACUACGUG
rnacentral:rRNA from 1 species